ACAUUUUCAUCAACUGAUCACAAAUAUGGGCAGGAAAUUCUUCGUCGGUGGCAACUGGAAAUGUAAUGGGACAACUUCAGAGGUGAAGAAGAUUGUCACCAUAUUGAAUGAAGCUGAAGUCCCUUCUGAAGAUGUUGUGGAGGUUGUUGUGAGCCCUCCCUUUGUGUUUCUUGCUUAUGUGAAAAGUUUGUUGCGGUCUGAUUUCCAUGUUGCGGCACAGAACUGUUCGGUUCGGAGAGGUGGUGCUUUUACUGGAGAGAUUAGUGCUGAGAUGCUGGUCAAUUUGGGGAUUCCCUGGGUCAUUAUCGGCCAUUCUGAGAGAAGACUGAUUCUGAAUGAAUCCAAUGAGUUUGUUGGGGACAAAGUUGGAUAUGCACUUUCUCAAGGCUUAAAAGUUAUUGCUUGUGUUGGAGAGACUCUUGAGCAGCGAGAAUCUGGAUCUACGGUGGCUAUCGUCGCUGCACAAACAAAAGAUAUAGCAGAUAAAGUAUCAAGCUAGGAGAACAUUGUUUUGGCAUAUGAGCCAGUUUGGGCCAUUGGCACUGGGAAGGUUGCAACCCCUGCUCAGGCGCAAGAAGUCCAUUUUGAGUUGAGAAAAUGGCUUCAAGACAAUGUUGAUGCUGAAGUUGCUGCAUCGACCAGAAUUAUUUAUGGAGGUUCUGUAAAUGGAGCAACUGCAAAGAAUUGGCAACACAACCAGAUGUGGAUGGGUUUUUGGUUGGCGGAGCUUCCCUUAAGCUGGAGUUCAUUGACAUUAUCAAGUCUGCUACAGUAAAGAAGGAUGACUGA